GCCGGGGUGGCGGAAUUGGUAGACGCAGGGGACUUAAAAUCCCCCGGGCGCUAAACCCGUGCCGGUUCAAGUCCGGCCCUCGGUA
rnacentral:tRNA from 1 species